rnacentral:rRNA from 1 species
AGGGUUUGAUCAUGGCUCAGGAUGAACGCUGGCGGCGUGCUUAACACAUGCAAGUCGAACGGGAAAUAUUUCAUUGAGACUUCGGUGGAUUUGAUCUAUUUCUAGUGGCGCACGGGUGAGUAACGCGUAUCCAACCUGCCCACCACUUGGGGAUAACCUUGCGAAAGUAAGACUAAUACCCAAUGACAUCUCUAGAAGACAUCUGAAAGGGAUUAAAGAUUUAUCGGUGAUGGAUGGGGAUGCGUCUGAUUAGCUUGUUGGCGGGGUAACGGCCCACCAAGGCAACGAUCAGUAGGGGUUCUGAGAGGAAGGUCCCCCACAUUGGAACUGAGACACAGUCCAA